AAAAAGCUACGUCAUUUGUGUACGGACCCUAAGGGUGAAUUUUAAAAUAUAGCAAUUUUUAAACAAGCAAUAUUAUUUGUGCAUUGAAUAAAAAACACUGGUUUCUUCAUCCAAUUACUUCAUGUAAAGUAAUAGGGAUCUUUAGGGGUAAGUAGAUUUUCAGUUUUCUGGUGCGGAAUAACAAUAAAUUUGUGUUUUUCUUUUCGAUUAUAGAAGUCUUGACCGUGGCGCCAUUUGUGUUUUUUCGAGAUAGAAAAUUUUCUUAUCUAUGUUGUAUUGUAUCUUUUCUAUGUACAUUUUCGAUUUACUAAUUACACUGUGCCCACCACAUCAAUUUGUAUUUCAAAGUGUAAUUAUUCCUUGAUGUUUUUAAAGCAAUAAUAUGUUAAGGUGUAGUUUGUUAUGCCGAUUUCGCUUGAACCUGAAACUGAGUCAGGUUCUAACCCCAACCGCUGUCAGUUCAUACAUUUUGACAGCAGUUGGGGUUAGGAACUGACUCAGUUUCGCCUCAAACAAAAACCACAUAAGUAAACGUUCUGAAAGAGUUUGCCCAGCACCUCCGUUUGUUUAAGGGGCUACACCACUGUAGAGAACAAUUUUAUUGACGCUAUGAAGAGAUGAAUCGAGUUCCUGUAACAUGCGAUUUAUAGUACUAGGGUAACCAACCUAAUUUGGACCCCUACAUAUUGUGGACCCUGUUAAUGUAUUUGCCUCCUACACUGCCAAGUUUCUCUGCAUUUGUUUGGUUUGAUGCAGCAAUUACAUUCCUUGGGUUGUCUAUAAGUUUCAAUAUCAUUAGUUCAUCUCUAAUUGUUUAAAAUUUUUAUGUCAAAAAAUAUGGGACUCAUAUGCGAAUGAGCAGCGAUGCCAACCUUCCAGUUUAAACUGGAUUCUUCCAGUUUUUUUUACUCGAUCCAGUCAAACAGACACAUGUGUAAAUCGUCCAGUUUUUUAAAAUAUUGUCCAGUUUUAUCCAGUUUUUUCCCAAAGGUGUGUGCCAAAAUUAUUUCCUCGCUAUUUGCAAUACAAUAGUAGUUUACUAUAUAAACUAAUAAUAAAUAAUAAAGUAAAAUAAAUGAAAUUGUUAAGAGUACAACCUCUCUAGGGAACAAGUUAAUUGUUUUUCAGUAAUCAUAUUUUGCUGCACUCUGUCAUAUUUCAAUACACAUUAGAAAUUGAUAUGCUAUGGAGUGCAAGAUUAGCAGAUAUCGUUAAUUAAAAUGAAGAUUGUUUUUUUAGUCUGUUUAUUACAUAUGGCACAGUGCGUUAGCUUGAAGGUACCAAUUUUUUCGUUUAUCAUUUCAAAUUUCUUAAAACUUGUAAUGUGAAAUUAUCUAAAAGUUAUAUUUAAAUAGUAGCGAUCACUUUUAUUCUAUCUUAAACUAGAAAUUCGCUGCUAUAUGAGAAUUGCUUUCUUAUUUUGUCUAAUAGCUGAACGUUUUCAUAUUGAACGUUUGUCUUCAUAUUUGAGAAUCCUGUUUUAUUAAAAAUAGAUCCAUUUUAUUUUAAAAUACUUUGCAUCCCUAAACUACAUUCCCUGUUGCAAGGAUAAAUUUGGUUAUUCGGUCAUCCAGUUUUUUCCAGUCUUUUUUAAAGAGAGGUUCCAGUUUUUUUGAAAAUAAAGUUGGCAACGCUGCGAAUGAGCCUGAUAGUGGACCAUUCAUAAAUUACGUAACGCAAACAUUGCCCAAUAUUGACUUAUUGAAUCCUCGCGAUCAUUCUGUCUAUGAUGGCCGACCAAACAGUCGUUCAACUUGGUUUAUUUUGGUGUACUUUUCAGUAUAAUGUAGGUUUAAUUCUUGACAAACAUGAUUACUGUCAAAAUUCGCUUUGAAGAGGAAGUUAGUUAAAGAGAAAACUUUUCUCUUGUUUACUACCAACAUCUGUAAUACGAGAAGUAGCGGUUUGUUCGGAAUUUCCACUCGAAGUGAAUUUUGACAGUUUUUACGUCCUAAUCAUAUGUUUGUCGGGAAUUUGUGCUUUUGCCUUACAAUAACAUCUCAGUGGCAUAAAUAAAUAUGCUACACUAGAGACAUUAUAGCAGAUGAAAAAUUCUUAACUGCGCUUAGUAUAACGUACGGGAACAAUAUGAAGGUACUUUUCAUAUGAGAUAAACAUGGUUUGGUAGUGUGUCGUAUUUCACGGAGCAAACUCGUGAUUAUUACAGCGAUUUCUUGAAGUAUUGUAAAAAAUAACCUAUAUUCAUGCAGCUGACUAAAAUGAUAAAAAUGCAUAUGGGACUGUCAUGCGAGUAUGGGCAGUGUUUGUCUGUUCUCUGUUGUUUUACUAUUCAACGUGGUUUUACUAAUGAGCUGUUUUCUGCAGUCGGAAACAAAAAUGAUGAUCCCAAUCGAAAAGUUGUUAUCACCGAAGAUGCACAGCGUUUUGCCAACCAAAUGGAUAUACAGUUGUUUGAAACAUCAGCCAAAGACAACAUAAACGUAGAAGAAAUGUUUUUAGCCAUCACCGAGCAAGUUUUAAGGCAUAAAAAGCAAACGCAAAAACAGGUUCAGUCGGAUCAAAAUAAAGAUAUUGUGCAUUUGCGUAAAGGUGGAAAUAUUAAAAAAAAGAACAAAUGUUGCUAGUAGCUAAAAGUUUCGUUAACAUGUAAACACUCUAGCGUAGGAAUCUAGGAAACUAAACCGAAGAUAAACGCAUACAAUUAAUUUUGUAAUAAUAUAAAAUUAUACCUAUAUUAAAUGUAUUCCGAAUACGAUAAAAAUC